rnacentral:tRNA from 1 species
GGCUUAGUGGCUCAGUGGUUAGAGCAGGGGAUUCAUAAGCCCAAGGUCACAGGUUCAACUCCUGUCUAAGCUA